UGUAUGUGUGUGUGUAUGCAUACAUUUGUACAUACACAUGUGGAGGUCAGAGUUUUGUCGGGAUUGUUUCUCUCCUCUCAGCAUAUGAAUCCUGGGGAUCAAAUUCAAGACUUCAGGCUUGGUGACAAACAUAUUUACCUGUUAAACAAGCUCACUGCUCCAAGAGUCAUCCACGCCGUGGCCACUCAGGGAUCCUGGAUGGUGGAACACAGGUCAUCUCGAGUGUUUGUGGAACCAGAAAGAGACGUCUCACAUCAGCGAUUAGACGCUGCAGUGAAGAGUAGAGAAUGUUUCUGCUGACUACCAGGACUCAUCCCAUGAGCUCAGUCUCAAGUCACAGAAAUGGGGGUGCAAUCUUGUCCUGAACCUAGGAGGGGUUGUGUGCCGGACGGAAAGUAAAGACAUCGGCCUGGGUGGGCCAUGUGGGAAGACUGUGCUCUCUUCAGAGACAAAGCAAGACCGGGUUAGCGGGAGAGCGCGAGGAAGAGGAGAGCUGAGAGAAGACCCGGUGGACCGGGUGGACCUGUUAGACCUGUAAAGACACGCCAGCAGGACUAACGGCUCUGGCCUUGUUUACCUGAGCUGCAGAGCCCGUGUGCCAUCUAUUGUCACGGUGUCUGAAAAGCUUAUGCUUUAUUCAUAGCUUCUCAACACUCUUUACCCUUAAAACAUCAAUGGCACCCUUGUGAACAGUAAGUUACACCAAUCAUCCUCGGGUAAAAUUAUUCUCCAGGCUCCUGCUUCAGUGAGCAGAGGCAUACAGCCCUGGGGGACGUACCUAGCCGAGGUAUGAACUUGGGAACAAACACAGUUCUUCACAGCACACCAAGCGCUCUAAGCAUUAAAGGCCAUGGAUAAAUAAAAGAAUUCAGGUUUCCUCUCA
rnacentral:sRNA from 1 species